AGGAAAACUACCUCCUCACACAAAUGAGACAGGGAAGUGAGAAAUCAUGACUUGGUGGUUAAUGCUUCUCAGGGGUAUUGUUCUGAAUUCCACAGACCUGCUUCGACAGAAGGAAUGCACAAACCCUUUAGAGUCUUCAAUCAAAUUCUCUGCAGCGAUUCUAACGAAGUCCCACUGUGUCCUAGUCCAAGCCGAGGGUUUGAAUUUGGAUCUGAAAGCAACUCCUGAAUCUCUUCCUCAUUUUUACACAUCCUUUGUAGAGUGCAUUAGUGUUAAGGAUUCUAGUGCCGCACGUAGUGGCCAGAGAUGUGAAUGUGUGAUGAGCAAACCCGUGUAGCUGAUUAUAAACACAGCAUUAAAGAAAUCAAUAUGCCGCAUUCAUGCUCAGGAAGUCCUCCUUGCAUGCAUUAAGCAGUGGAAUAUUUGAGCCACCAGCACAAUUCUCAGCCCAGGACAGUCCCAUAAUGGCCGAGUCUGCACAUCUAAGGAGUUCUCCAGGAUUCUUAGAGCUGCUUGGAGACGAAUCACUCAUUGAAGAACAGUGGGCUCCAGAGCUCUACUUCCAGAUUUCCUGAUCAGUGGUCCUGGAUAAGGACUAGGUGGUUUGACUUUAAUCAAGAAUACAAGAGGUUUAGAGCAGACACUAUUCAGACAGUGCUCUGUUACAGCGUUGCUAUAUGAACUCACACAGAUCCCCUCAUUAAUUGUCUCUCUGACUAUUAACACAUGUUUUCUAAUUCCUGCCGCCUGGGUAUUUCUAACACACCUUAGAACUUUAAAAAGAUGAAAAGUAAGUCUGAGAAAUAACACAUUGUGCUCUAAUUAAAAUGGAAUUCUGAGGAUAUAGCCAAAUUUACUUUCAUGGGAACAAAUAUUUAGUCAGCAUUUACUACUAAUUAAUGUUGCAGGUGCUAUAACUGGGAAUGUAGACUACAAGAUUGAGACAAAAAGAUCCCUGCUUUUGUUUUUUGUUAUUGUUGGGAUUAUUUUUUGGUUUUGUUUGUUUAAUAAUAGCUAUUCCAAAUUAAAAAGCAUUCUGAGUGGAACUAGUGCAAUUCUAGGCACUAAGCACUUCCUAGUCUUAGGGGGAUCAUGCCCAUUGCUCAUCAAGUUCUACUCUAAAAGCUGAAAUUUUCUGUUUGGCCUCCAAAUUAUCUUGCUAACUUUAGCUAUGGGUGUCAUAUAUUAUUUCUUUUACCAUUUCAAAACACGAGGAUGUGCUUAACAAAUCAUAAAUAUAUCUAAAAACAUUGAAUUUCUAAAUUUCAAAAAGCUAAUUCUGGAUUACUUUUCAAAGAUAAAAUAGUGACUCAAGUUCAGUAUUUGUCUUUCAGGAUGUGGUUUGCUUUUUUCAAAUUUCUACAACUGGGCUUAACUCUUUUCUCUUAGUCAAGGAUUUAAGAACCCAUUGGUGGAAGAAUGUAAAAUCCACAGGCAUUUUUCUCCUGUUUCUUUGUUUCUUUCUUUUCUCCCAAAAUCAACUCUCUUACAUGAGAGCACAAGAGAUUUUACAUUUUUAAAAAAACGGUAGUGCUUUACCCAAACAAUAUCUUCUCUGUCGUUUCAAGACCAUGGAAACACAGCAAAUACUCCAACAAGAAGCCACUCCAGCUGCAAAUGAAGAAUGUGGUGUCUCGCAGGCCAAGUCUGUGAUCUGUAACCCCGCUCACUCAAGUAAGACGGAGAUGACUCUGCUGUUCCCACUGAUGCUUCAGACAUGAUCAGUUAACCUUAAAAAAUACCAAGGAAAUGCCACAGAAAGAGCAACUAAAAGGAAAAUGACUUCAUCUUUAUUUUUACAGUUUCAAAAAACUAUAGGUGGUAGGUCCAGAGUGAUCAUUCACUGUCAAGAUGCUGAAUUGAUGAGGAUAUAGAAGAAAACAAGCCCAGGAAGACAAGUUCAGCCUCAUAAGUAACGUAGUCAACUACUGUGGUCCAGAACAGCAACUCGCCCAUUGGUUUCAUCUGAUUGCUUGUUUCACGGGACUUUUAAUUCCAAAAGGUUUUACUAGUCCUUACUAGAAUGAACUUUUUGUUGCAUACGAGGUCAGAUGCAAGGCAGUUUCUCAUCUGCUUUCACUAGGACUAGUGCUCUAAUCUGGGAAAUAACAAGAGUGCAGGGAAACUGAGUGUGUGUGGUCUCAUCCCACCUUAGCUAAAGGCCAACUCCUGAAGCAAUGCAGGCUCUUCAUACCCCGUCCCACUUCCUUAAAAAUACCAUUCAAUGGUCAGAGCAGACAGAUACCAACAUGAAAACCAGGCAAACUAGCGGCUACCUCAAAGCAUACCAAAGCCUUGCAAAAAGAAGAAAUAACGGUCCAUAUGACAGUGACUUCUGUUUAUACAGAUAUGCCAAACAAUCUUAUUUGAACUUCAGAUUACUAGUUGAUAUUUUAGAAUAUUUCCACGUUUCUCAACCGUAGCCAACAAUAUAUCCUAGCAAUCAAAGAGUGCCUAUGGUGCUUUUCUUAUUCUGUUCAAUGUAAAUGACUAUAAAUAGCAUCUCUAAAAAAUCCCUGAGCUUUCAUAUGCUUUGUACAUUUUGAUUUUAGCAUGAAAAUAAAUUCAUGGACCAUUACUUAAUUUUUUCCCUACAUUUAGGGAAAAAAUGGAAAUGCAGAAUCCUACAUUUUUAACAUUGAAGUGUAUUUAAAAGUAAAACUAGAAAUACGGCUCUGUAAUUACACUGACAUCUUUUGUAAGCGAUAACACAUGAUAACAUAUAAUUGAAUGGCUUUUCCACCACAGGAAUCACAACUAAGGAAAAAAGACAAAGAGCCUAAUUUUUUUUCUCUGACUAAUCAGGAUUGAUGUUAAUUAAAGAAGAGUGCAAGAUAAUGACUUCUCAUUACUACCUGAUAGAUAGAAAUAGAUUAUUUUUAUUCAAGGUAAAAUAGCAAUUAAAUAACUUUUUAGAAAGGAUGUAUUUUCAGAAGGCUUUCUUCUAUAAUUGGUGAAGCAUUAGGAUAAAGAUCUUUCGGAAAAAUCAUGUACAAAAUGGAUUUCAUCAAAGGCUGUUUAUUCUUUAGCGUUUUGUCACACUGUGUGGGAUAUGAACAAGACAAAAGAUGGUAUUUGAAUAGGCAGUAAUCAGAACAAAAUUGACUUGCAUUAUUCUGUGGAAUGUUUGCAUUAAAGAACACAGUCUAACGGAGUAAUUAAAACACAAGUUCAAAUCCCAGUUCCUUCAGCCACUAGUUCUGUGGCUUAGAUCCAAGAUUUUAACUUCUAUAAGGCUUAAUUUCUCAUUUGUAGGAUUUUUAUGUAACACAUUUGCCAGAUGUCAUAAUGUCUGCCAGAAACUCCACACUUGGAAAGCUGAGGCAGGAGGAUUAAGAGAUGAAUUCUAGCCUGGGCUACAUACAUUUUUCCCAGAACAAAAAAAUGAGGAACUCUAUUUGUCUCUGUCUCAGAUACUAACACUGAACGGUUCUUCAUAAAUCCAUUUGAGUAUUAAAUACCCACAUUUCUCUACUGUACAGAGUUUGACCCGUAGGAGGAUCUAAACCAAUAUUGACAGCUAUAGUAGUUCCCUCUGCUAAUGCAACAACUCGUCACAAACUCAGUGACUUAGAACAAUGAUUUCAUGAUAGUCUAAGGAGGAGUUGUUUGAUUUAAGGCAAAGGAAGAUGAGUAAUCUUCUGAGGUCCUGCCCAUAGAACAUGAUGUCAUCCACAGAUACUGCUGCUCAUCCCUGACUCUGGUUUUUUCCCAAGAUCUCUAGCGAGGCAGAAUCCAGCCCCUUACAGGAUGGAAGACUAGGACACUUUGACCUUGGAACUGAGAGAUUUCUCCCUGAUCUCUCCCACGUGGCCCUUUCAGGAUGUGAUGGUUUGUUUCUUCAAAGCCUAUAAAAAGGCAUCUGUUGCUGCCACUCCCUGAUGUCUCCAAAUUCUAAAUUCUAAAUCGAUUUUACACAGUGUUCAUCUCAUUAGGCCAGAACUUCCCAGAUAAUCAUUUGAUUAAGUUAAAGCUGGCUGAUAAUAGACCUUAAUUACACCAUUACAAUGCUACUCGCCUUUAUCUCCUCAGUUCUUACCUGUGCCCCUGGGUGAGGGCUUACAACUAGGAACAGUAGGCUUAUCUUAGAAUUCUACACACCAGCACUAUCACUGUAUAUUUACCAACAUUGUGAUACUAAGUGUUAACUGGAUUGGUUCUUAAAAUACCAAUAGGAAGAUGUGGUACAGACUGAGCAGCAGUUUUCUUCUCUUGCCUACACUUCCAAAUAGUAUUGAGUACACAUUUAACAGCAAUCAUCUACAUUCUUUUUUUUUCUUUCUUUUUUUUUAUUAACUUGAGUAUUUCUUAUAUACAUUUCAAGUGUUAUUCCCUUUCCCGGUUUCCGAGCAAACAUCCCCCUCCCCCCUCCCCUUCCUUAUGGGUGUUCCCCUCCCAACCCUCCCCCCAUUGCCGCCCUCCCCCCAUAGUCUAGUUCACUGGGGGUUCAGUCUUAGCAGGACCCAGGGCUUCCCCUUCCACUGGUGCUCUUACUAGGAUAUUCAUUGCUACCUAUGAGGUCAGAGUCCAGGGUCAGUCCAUGUAUAGUCUUUAGGUAGUGGCUUAAUCCCUGGAAGCUCUGGUUGCUUGACAUUGUUGUACUUUUGGGGUCUCGAGCCCCUUCAAGCUCUUCCAGUUCUUUCUCUGAUUCCUUCAACGGGGGACCUAUUCUCAGUUCAGUGGUUUGCUGCUGGCAUUCGCCUCUGUAUUUGCUGUAUUCUGGCUGUGUCUCUCAGGAGCGAUCUACGUCCGGCCCCUGUCGGUCUGCACGUCUUUCCUUCAUCCAUCUUGUCUAAUUGGGUGGCUGUAUAUUUAUGGGCCACAUGUGGGGCAAGCUCUGAAUGGGUGUUCCUUUAGUUUCUGUUUUAAUCUUUGCCUCUCCCUUCCCUGCCAAGGGUAUUCUUUUUCCUCAUUUAAAGAAGGAGUGAAGCAUUCACAUUUUGAUCAUCCGUCUUGAGUUUCCUUUGUUCUAGGGAUCUAGGGUAAUUCAAGCAUUUGGGCUAAUAGCCACUUAUCAAUGAGUGCAUACCAUGUAUGUCUUUAUGUGAUUGGGUUAGCUCACUCAGGAUGAUAUUUUCCAGUUCCAACCAUUUGCCUAUGAAUUUCAUAAACUCGUUGUUUUUGAUAGCUGAGUAAUAUUCCAUUGUGUAGCUGUACCACAUUUUCUGUAUCCAUUCCUCUGUUGAAGGGCAUCUGGGUUCUUUCCAGUUUCUGGCUAUUAUAAAUAAGGCUGUGAUGAACAUAGUGGAGCACGUGUCUCUUUUAUAUGUUGAGGCAUCUUUUGGGUAUAUGCCCAAGAGAGGUAAAGCUGGAUCCUCAGGCAGUUCAAUGUCCAAUUUUCUGAGGAACCUCCAGACUGAUUUCCAGAAUGGUUGUACCAGUCUGCAAUCCCACCAACAAUGGAGGAGUGUUCCUCUUUCUCCACAUCCUCGCCAGCAUCUGCUGUCACCUGAGUUUUUGAUCUUAGCCAUUCUCUCUGGUGUGAGGUGAAAUCUCAGGGUUGUUUUGAUUUGCAUUUCCCUUAUGACUAAAGAUGUUGAACAUUUCUUUAGGUGUUUCUCAGACAUUCGGCAUUCCUCAGCUGUGAAUUCUUUGUUUAGCUCUGAACCCCAUUUUUAAUAGGGUUAUUUGUUUCCCUACGGUCUAACUUCUUGAGUUCUUUGUAUAUUUUGGAUAUAAGGCCUCUAUCUGUUGUAGGAUUGGUAAAGAUCUUUUCCCAAUCUGUUGGUUGCCGUUUUGUCCUAACCACAGUGUCCUUUGCCUUAC